CUUGUUAUUCUUUUUCCUAAACUUGGGGAUUUUAAAAUAUACGGAAAAAAAAAUCUCUUAUCUUCUUCUCUUCUUCUGCUCUAUUUAUUAGCGUCUUCUCUAUGAUCACUCUGCUCAUUUUUCGAUCUGCAACUCUUCAGAAUUUCGUUCCAGUCCGUCAUCAACAAGUGGGUGCAUCUAAUAGUUUUGGAAUCAUCCAGUUUUCUAUCUCCAUUUUAGGUAUAAUUUGCACUAAAAAUCUCUUCUUUGAUCUUAGCUCCACAUGGAAAAAAUGAAUUCUGCUCUUCUCUUAUUAUUUUCUUUUAUCUACUUAUUCUGCUACUUUUUCUGUACUUGUGUGUAUUUUAGGUUGUGCUCAAACAAAAAGUUAUUUUAUUUGAUAAUUUUGUUGGAGUUGUCCUCUAGUUUUUGUUUUUUUUGUUGACCUGUUUGUUUGGGUGUCCACAAAUUACUGCAAUCAGAUAUAUGAUACAUCUAUUUAUUGCAAUGAUGUACCAAUCAUUUGUGCAUGAUAUCAAUGUGGCAAGUUGAAUUAUAAAUAAAAUUUUGAUGUUCAAGAGCUAGAUGGUACAAAUUAAAGCACGUAUUUAUCAAAGUAAGAUAUGAGAGGACAAAUAAUAAGCCUGUUGAGAUGGAGACUUUGAGAGCAAAGUUAAGUGAUGCUUUGUGGGGAGACGAAGAUAUGCUAAUUUUAUGGUGAUUAAAUGUUUAUUAUAUAUAUGUCAAAAGUAAUGAAUAGAAUCAUUGCAUCGAUGUAUUUUAGGCACAAUCCAUUUUUAUAGUUUUGGGUAGUUUCCUGAUUUGGGAAUGUGUUGUAGUAGCUCAACUUAGAGGAUAAAUUAAAGUCAUUAGGCAUAAGAUCUCUCUUUUCAGAUGGUCCAAUGGUUGCAACUAUGACUCUCUAAAGACUCUUGCAGUCUUACUAACUGUAUGUGUUUGUAUAUAUGCUAUUGAAUCUUCUUGUUCUUUUUAUUCCAAGCUUUUAUACCUUGUUUUUCUUUUAAGUUGGAUUAUGUUUGAGAACAUUAUUAUAUUUACUUUUACUUUCUCAGGGUGUCUUAGAAAGAUGACAGAAAUAGAAUCAAAUUCAAAGAAUUUUAUUUUUUUUAUAGCUUGUCUGCAAGUGAAGAGAAUGACUCUGUUGAAGCUAAUGAUGCGUGUGAUUAGAACUAUCACUAUUAAUCAUUUAUCGAAAAUAUUAUUUAAAGGCCCCACAUUCCGUGAAUGAGGUUGACCGAUCACGCUACAUUCAUAGAUUGAUCUAUGAGAGUGAUGUCACAUGUUAUGAAGAAUUACGUAUGGAUAGAUUUUCAUUUAGAAGAUUAGUUAUCAUGCUUGAAAGCUAACUGUUGAUGAGCAAGUUGCUAUUUUCUUGUACAUUCUAGCACAUCAUCAAAAGAAUCGUACAAUGAAAACUAAUUUUGUGCGGUCAGGAGAAACAAUUAGUAGGUAUUAUCAAGUUUGUACUAAAUGUCGUUCUUAGGCUUCAUGGUCAUUUACUAAAAGCUUCUUCUCCUGUAACUGAGAAUUCCACUGAUGCGAAAUGGAAAUACUUUAAGGUAUCAUAAAAACACCUUGGUUUAUAUUUAUCUUAUAUACAUAAAUCUUGAAUAUUGAUUGAAUUAAAAUUGUAGAAUUGCACAGGAGCUGUGGAUGGUACCCAUAUUGAAGUGAAAGUAUCCGAGGUUGAUAAACCUACAUAUCGAAAUAGAAAAGAUGGCUCGCCGCGGCAAGGGAGGUAAUCAUGUAUGGACUAUUAAAGAAGAUGCGAAACUUGAAGAAAUAAUUGUUGAGUUGAAGAGAAGUAGGAACUGAGAUGGUGAAAGUGGAAGUGGGUUAAAAAAAGGUUAUCAAAAGGAGUUGGAGAAAAUAUUGCAAGAAAAGUUGCCAGGCCAUGGUCUUAAAGAAAAACCACAUAUUGAAUCUCAUUGUAAGUUAUUGAAAAAACAAUAUCAUGCUAUCUACGAUGUGCGUUCCAAUGGAGAACUAAGUGGAUUUCGCUGGGAUGAUGAAAGAAAAUGUGUUACUGCAAGUGCAGACGUGUGGGAAGAUUACUUAAAGGGCCAUCCAGAUUGCACUUUCUUGAGAAACAAACCUUUUUCUUACUAUGAUCAACUAUCAUAUGUUUGGGGCAAAGAUAGAGUUGCUGGACCAAAUGCUGAAGUCGUGGUAGAUAUGGUUGAGGAUUUAGAUAGAGAGUAAAAUAUCGAUCAAGGAGAUGAAGAAUCUGGUGAAGAUAGUGCACCUUCAAUAAUUACACCUCGAGGUGAAGGAACUUCCAAAAAACAUGAGCGAAAAGGAAAGAGAAGUUCUGAUGGUUUGAUAUUAAGUUUGGAGUGCAUGAUUAAUGUGUUUAAUGAGCAAAUGGAAAAUUCGAAUGAUUAAAUGGGUAAGAUUAUUGAAAGUUUUAAUGCA